rnacentral:rRNA from 1 species
AUUGAACGCUGGCGGCAUGCCUUACACAUGCAAGUCGAACGGCAGCACGGGAGCAAUCCUGGUGGCGAGUGGCGAACGGGUGAGUAAUAUAUCGGAACGUGCCCGGUCGUGGGGAUAAUGUAGCGAAAGCUACGCUAAUACCGCAUACGAUCUAUGGAUGAAAGCGGGGGAUCGCAAGACCUCGCGCGAUUGGAGCGGCCGAUAUCAGAUUAGGUAGUUGGUGAGGUAAAGGCUCACCAAGCCGACGAUCUGUAGCUGGUCUGAGAGGACGACCAGCCACACUGGGACUGAGACACGGCCCAGACUCCUACGGGAGGCAGCAGUGGGGAAUUUUUGGACAAUGGGCGCAAGCCUGAUCCAGCAAUGCCGCGUGCAGGAUGAAGGCCUUC